rnacentral:rRNA from 1 species
CCUACGGGGGGCUGCAGUGGGGAAUAUUGCACAAUGGGGGAAACCCUGAUGCAGCGACGCCGCGUGAGUGAAGACGUACUUCGGUAUGUAAAGCUCUAUCAGCAGGGAAGAAAAUGACGGUACCUGAUUAAGAAGCCCCGGCUAACUACGUGCCAGCAGCCGCGGUAAUACGGAGGGGGCAAGCGUUAUCCGGAUUUACUGGGUGUAAAGGGAGCGUAGACGGCAGCACAAGUCUGGAGUGAAAUGCCGGGGCUUAACCCCGGACGUGCGUUGGAAACUGGGCAGCUUGAGUGCAGGAGAGGUAGGUGGAAUUCGUGGUGUAGCGGUGAAAUGCGUAGAUAUUAGGCAGAACACCGAUGGCGAAGGCAGCUUACUGGACUGUAACUGACGUUGAGGCACGAAAGCGUGGGGAGCAAACAGGAUUAGAUACCCCUGUAGUC